rnacentral:rRNA from 1 species
CGGGUAGAGUAUGUAGUGGGAUCUGCCUGAUGGCGGGGAUAACUACUGGAAACGGUAGCUAAUACCGCAUAAUGUCUACGGACCAAAGCGGGGGACCUCCGGGCCUCGCGCCAUCAGAUGAACCCAUAUGGGAUUAGCUUGUAGGUAAGGUAACGGCUUACCUAGGCGACGAUCCCUAGCUGGUCUGAGAGGAUGAUCAGCCACACUGGGACUGAGACACGGCCCAG